rnacentral:tRNA from 1 species
GCCCCGUUAGCUCAGUGGUAGAGCGUGUCCAUGUCUCUCUCUCUUUCUUUCUUCUGUCUCCUAAAACCUAAACUCUUCUUUCCGCUCCGCUCUCCUCUGUACUCCUAAAAUCUCACAUUGCAAGACACUGGUUCGAUUCCAGUACAGAGCA